rnacentral:rRNA from 1 species
GACGAACGCUGGCGGCGUGGAUUAGGCAUGCAAGUCGGACGGUAGGGCUUUAUCGUAAGAUAGAGUUUGAGAGUGGCGAACGGGUGAGUAACACGUAGGAAUCUACCCUUAAGACGGGGACAACCCAGGGAAACUUGGGCUAAUACCGGAUGAGAGUGCGAGAGAUUGCAUUUAAAAGGAUGGCGAAAGUUGUCGCUUAGGGAUGAGCCUGCGGUCUAUUAGUUAGUUGGUGAGGUAAGAGCUCACCAAGGCGAUGAUAGAUAGGCGGCCUUAACGGGUGGUCGCCCACACUGGGAUUGAGAUACGGCCCAGACUCCUACGGGAGGCAGCAGUCGAGAAUAGUCUACAAUGGCCGGAAGGCUGAUAGUGCGACGCCGCGUGAACGAGGGAGCCCUUCGGGUGUAAAGUUCUUUUCUAUACGAGCAGUGCUACAUAUAUGGAUAGUAUAUAUAGAGGGAUAGUAGUAUAGGAAUAAAGCAACGGCUAACUCCGUGCCAGCAGCCG